GACGUGCGCCCUCACCAGGGCGGCGUGAGGUACAAGAUGGUGGUCACGGCGGCGGACGCCGGCGGCGCCACCGCGCAGUACCACGUGUUGGUCUGGGGGAUCCCUGCGACUUACCAGUGGAUGCUUCUGGAGUUCAAGAAGAUCAAAAUGAAUUAAGGAGCAGGACAUGCGUGCGGCGUGGCGGAUGGUUUAAGCAUAACCCAUAUAUGUUUGUAUGCUAGAAAAGCAAAUAAAUUGUGCCUACGUCCGUGGAGAGGGAGGACUAUUGUCUUAUUGUCUAAUCGUGUAUGCCAGAAAAGAGAGACC
rnacentral:lncRNA from 1 species